UACGAAGGGUGCAAGCGUUACUCGGAAUUACUGGGCGUAAAGCGUGCGUAGGUGGUUCGUUAAGUCUGAUGUGAAAGCCCUGGGCUCAACCUGGGAAUGGCAUUGGAAACUGGCGAUCUAGAGUGCGGUAGAGGGUAGUGGAAUUCCCGGUGUAGCAGUGAAAUGCGUAGAGAUCGGGAGGAACAUCUGUGGCGAAGGCGACUGCCUGGACCAGCACUGACACUGAGGCACGAAGGCGUGGGGAGCAAACAGG
rnacentral:rRNA from 1 species